ACAUGCAAGUCGAACGAACUCUGGUAUUGAAUUGGUGCUUGCAUCAUGAUUUACAUUUGAGUGAGUGGCGAACUGGUGAGUAACACGUGGGAAACCUGCCCAGAAGCGGGGGAUAACACCUGGAAACAGAUGCUAAUACCGCAUAACAACUUGGACCGCAUGGUCCGAGCUUGAAAGAUGGCUUCGGCUAUCACUUUUGGAUGGUCCCGCGGCGUAUUAGCUAGAUGGUGGGGUAACGGCUCACCAUGGCAAUGAUACGUAGCCGACCUGAGAGGGUAAUCGGCCACAUUGGGACUGAGACACGGCCCAAACUCCUACGGGAGGCAGCAGUAGGGAAUCUUCCACAAUGGACGAAAGUCUGAUGGAGCAACGCCGCGUGAGUGAAGAAGGGUUUCGGCUCGUAAAACUCUGUUGUUAAAGAAGAACAUAUCUGAGAGUAACUGUUCAGGUAUUGACGGUAUUUAACCAGAAAGCCACGGCUAACUACGUGCCAGCAGCCGCGGUAAUACGUAGGUGGCAAGCGUUGUCCGGAUUUAUUGGGCGUAAAGCGAGCGCAGGCGGUUUUUUAAGUCUGAUGUGAAAGCCUUCGGCUCAACCGAAGAAGUGCAUCGGAAACUGGGAAACUUGAGUGCAGAAGAGGACAGUGGAACUCCAUGUGUAGCGGUGAAAUGCGUAGAUAUAUGGAAGAACACCAGUGGCGAAGGCGGCUGUCUGGUCUGUAACUGACGCUGAGGCUCGAAAGUAUGGGUAGCAAACAGGAUUAGAUACCCUGGUAGUCCAUACCGUAAACGAUGAAUGCUAAGUGUUGGAGGGUUUCCGCCCUUCAGUGCUGCAGCUAACGCAUUAAGCAUUCCGCCUGGGGAGUACGGCCGCAAGGCUGAAACUCAAAGGAAUUGACGGGGGCCCGCACAAGCGGUGGAGCAUGUGGUUUAAUUCGAAGCUACGCGAAGAACCUUACCAGGUCUUGACAUACUAUGCAAAUCUAAGAGAUUAGACGUUCCCUUCGGGGACAUGGAUACAGGUGGUGCAUGGUUGUCGUCAGCUCGUGUCGUGAGAUGUUGGGUUAAGUCCCGCAACGAGCGCAACCCUUAUUAUCAGUUGCCAGCAUUAAGUUGGGCACUCUGGUGAGACUGCCGGUGACAAACCGGAGGAAGGUGGGGAUGACGUCAAAUCAUCAUGCCCCUUAUGACCUGGGCUACACACGUGCUACAAUGGAUGGUACAACGAGUUGCGAACUCGCGAGAGUAAGCUAAUCUCUUAAAGCCAUUCUCAGUUCGGAUUGUAGGCUGCAACUCGCCUACAUGAAGUCGGAAUCGCUAGUAAUCGCGGAUCAGCAUGCCGCGGUGAAUACGUUCCCGGGCCUUGUACACACCG
rnacentral:rRNA from 2 species